CCUACGGGUGGCAGCAGUGAGGAAUAUUGGUCAAUGGACGAGAGUCUGAACCAGCCAAGUAGCGUGAAGGAUGACUGCCCUAUGGGUUGUAAACUUCUUUUAUAUGGGAAUAAAAUGUUCCACGUGUGGGAUUUUGUAUGUAACAUAUAAAUAAGGCUCGGCUAACUCCGUGCCAGCAGCCGCGGUAAUACGGAGGAUCCGAGCGUUAUCCGGAUUUAUUGGGUUUAAAGGGAGCGUAGGUGGAUUGUUAAGUCAGUUGGGAAAGUUUGCGGCUCAACCGUAAAAUUGCAGUUGAAACUGGCAGUCUUGAGUACAGUAGAGGUGGGCGGAAUUCGUGGUGUAGCGGUGAAAUGCUUAGAUAUCACGAAGAACUCCGAUUGCGAAGGCAGCUCACUGGACUGCAACUGACACUGAGGCUCGAAAGUGUGGGUAUCAAACAGGAUUAGAUACCCCAGUAGUC
rnacentral:rRNA from 1 species